rnacentral:ribozyme from 14 species
UUUUUUUUUUUUUUUUUUUCUAUUUUUUUUUUUUUUUUCUUUUUCAUUUUUUUUUUUUUUUCACCAAUAAUAGCAAGUUAUACUAAUUGUUAAUCAAGACUAGUUUGCAGAAUGUGCAGAAUGUGACUGCCGAAAUGUUUAAAUGGAUCCGUAAAUUUGUGAUUUUUAAGG